rnacentral:rRNA from 1 species
UUGUCUCAAAGAUUAAGCCAUGCAUGUCUCAGUACAAGCCGCAUUAAGGUGAAACCGCGAAAGGCUCAUUAAAUCAGUUAUGGUUCCUUAGAUCGUACCCACAUUUACUUGGAUAACUGUGGUAAUUCUAGAGCUAAUACAUGCAAACAGAGCUCCGACCGGAGACGGAAGGAGUGCUUUUAUUAGAUCAAAACCAAUCGGCGGCGGGCGCGUUCGCGCGUCCGUUCGCCGCUCAACCUGGUGACUCUGAAUAACUUUCUGCUGAUCGCACGGUCUCGCACCGGCGACGCAUCUUUCAAAUGUCUGCCUUAUCAACUGUCGAUGGUAGGUUCUGCGCCUACCAUGGUCGUAACGGGUAACGGGGAAUCAGGGUUCGAUUCCGGAGAGGGAGCCUGAGAAACGGCUACCACAUCCAAGGAAGGCAGCAGGCGCGCAAAUUACCCACUCCCGGCACGGGGAGGUAGUGACGAAAAAUAACGAUACGGGACUCAUCCGAGGCCCCGUAAUCGGAAUGAGUACACUUUAAAUCCUUUAACGAGGAUCAAUUGGAGGGCAAGUCUGGUGCCAGCAGCCGCGGUAAUUCCAGUUCCAAUAGCGU